GUGCCAGCAGCCGCGGUAAUACGUAGGGGACAAGCGUUGUCCGGAUUUACUGGGCGUAAAGGGCACGCAGGCGGUUUUUUAAGUCAGAUGUGAAAGGUACCGGCUCAACCGGUGACAUGCAUUUGAAACUGAAAGACUUGAGUAUUGGAGAGGCAAGUGGAAUUCCUAGUGUAGCGGUGAAAUGCGUAGAUAUUAGGAGGAACACCGGUGGCGAAGGCGGCUUGCUGGACAAAUACUGACGCUGAGGUGCGAAAGCGUGGGGAGCAAACAGGAUUAGAUACCCUCGUAGUCC
rnacentral:rRNA from 1 species